rnacentral:rRNA from 1 species
CACGUAGGGUGCGAGCGUUGUCCGGAAUUAUUGGGCGUAAAGAGCUCGUAGGUGGUUCGGUAAGUCGGGUGUUAAACCCCCAGGCUCAACCUGGGGACGCCACUCGAUACUGCUGUGACUUGAGUCCGGUAGGGGAGCGUGGAAUUCCUGGUGUAGCGGUGAAAUGCGCAGAUAUCAGGAGGAACACCAGCGGCGAAGGCGGCGCUCUGGGCCGGUACUGACACUGAGGAGCGAAAGCGUGGGUAGCAAACAGG